rnacentral:tRNA from 1 species
GCCCGGCUAGCUCAAUCGGUAGAGCGUGAGACUCUUAAGCCUCCCGUUCUCUUACAAACGAUUGGAUUUCGGUAUCUCAAGGUUGUGGGUUCGACCCCCACGUCGGGCU